AUCUGCUUUCCCGCACAAGAGGACCCAGGACGCCAUGCAUGAACAGAGGUCUCCAAACAGUAGGGACGUGGAGAUCUGCGGAGAGUGUAGAGGUAAGAGUCCUGAGUCUCUGCUACACAAUAAUCCUGACUGGCGCAUCCUAGACUAUGGAAACAAAGAAAGGAUAGACAACUGCCAUUCCCAUUUCUACACAUCACUAAGACAUGGCGAACCUCUUGACAAAGAUCAAGUCCCGAAACAAGAGCCUCAUCUUAAGGACAACUCCAUCAUCCCAUGUCUUUGCUUCAUUGCACUAUAUAAAAAUCACCAAGUGAACAUAUGAAAAGGAAUGACCUUGCCAGGGAAUUGCUAUUGUGUGAAAUGCAACAUGCUCCUUUGAAGUGGGGAAAGUUCAUGUAAAUGAACUUGGAACUGGAGAGACCUUGAGGAAAUAGACUGUGACCUUCUUCCCCUUGUGGCUUGUGGGAGUGUCAGAGCAGAAGGCUCUUGACCUUCCUGUAGCUCUCUUUGCCCUGUAGUUAAAUGGAGCCACCAACUGCUAAUUUAUUUUAAAGCACGUGAAGAGCCUGUGAAACUGGGUGUGUUUGGUCAGUGCAAAUAUUAAUAAAAAGUAGAAUGGUCCCAUGGACAUCUGCCGUGAGUUUGU
rnacentral:lncRNA from 1 species